CAUAUUCACUGAUGUGCAGUGUACUCUUUUUUUGGACUGCCAUCAGGUGUUACAGUUAUGCACAUGGUAAGUAUGUGUAUCAAGUUAACGGGUUAUACAAUACAAGCCCGCAAGAGAUUGCUUGGAAAACGACAAAUGUACAACCAGAGAAGGCACAGUGCAGAUUGACUCCUAGUUUAUUAUAGCACAGAGCCUGAGGGCAGGCUUCAGGGAAAAGAUUUCUGCCUCCAGGUGCCUGGAAGUUAUGGAUUUCGCAGCUUAAAGAGCUCGCUUGUUUCCUUGCAUUAGACACAAAGGUUUGAAGGUUCAGUGCCUGAGCAGCAACUUUCUUCAAGACAACUCGAGCUUUGCAAGAAACUUAAAGCAUUGCCUUGUUACGCCCUUUCUGUUCAGUCUGUGCAACUACUCUGUGCCUGUUUGAAAGCUUUGAAUUUAAAUCGGAUGAGAGGGAGGACUCUAGACACACAAAUAAGUGUAAUGGCAGCCCCAGAGCAAAAUCAGCCACCGACUGAAGUGGCCCUUUCUCUCUCACAAAGUGGGUACUUUUGCUCUCUUCCCUAUCACUUGGAGCACUGAGAGCAACACCAAAAAAGGGGGAGAGGAAAAUAUUUAAGAAGUGUAGGCAGAGGAAAUAUACAGUGGUAAAUAACCUACGGAAAUAGAGGUCUGGUCUUUGCAGGGAUGGGGAACGAUGUUCGAAUUCCUGCUCCAUGAUUGCAGUCAUGGGAUUUUUGUCUUUCACAUGACGUUAUAUGUUUUGACUCCACAAAGUGGGAAGUGACGGAGACAGAAUGUUUGUGUUACUGUGUUCCGUGAAGUGGGACUAUUGUCCUUUGUUUUGUUUUUUUCCUCUUUGCUGUCUGAUGCUAGAGAGAGAGAGUGAGCCAUGUUGCAGCGCUCCGUGUGUGUUUAUAUGUAAAUAAAGUAGAUUAGCCAAAACGCUGAGUUGCUGAGGUCUGUCACGCAAGGUGUGCAAACUCUGCGGAUCCCUAAGUGUGCCGGUGUCGGUUGGCAUCGGUCGCUGUGAUGUUCAGGCAGAAGAAAGCUUUUGAAGCCCCCGAAUGAAAGACCAGGAGGGAGGGAACAUGUGUCUUUGCCAGGGUCCUACUCGAGUGUAGGCUGAACUCCUGACAAACAUGUGGCCCUCCAGAUGUUGUUGGAUUCAAAGUCUCAUCUGCCCCAGCCACUAUGGUCAAUCAAGGAGGAUGGAAGCUGUAGUCUGGCAAAACUGGGAUAGCUCAAUUGGUAGAGUAUCAGACUCUUAAUCUCAGGGUUGUGGGUUCCAGCCCCACCUUGUGCAAAAUAAUUCCUGCAUUGCAGAGGGUUAGACUAGAUGACCUGCAUGGUCCCUUCCAGCUUUAUGAUUCUGUGAUUCUAACAUCUGCAAGGCAACUCAUUCCUCAGUCCUGUUGUUUACCACCUGCCUAGACGUGACUAAUGGCGACCACGUGGCACAUUACGGUCCAGAAUAGAAAUCAAUCCAGCGACUCCAAACCGUAUUUGCUUCUGCUGUAGUUUUCAGCCUGCUAACAAUACACAACUGAUUGCAUUCCUCCACCCCACCCUGCUAUAUAAAUUGUUUCCUUUGCAUUGGAAUUUAUGGUGUGGAAAUAAUCACACCACAGAUUACGUUGAUUAUUUGUAUCUUGCAUAACUCAUUGCGGAAAUUUCGUUAAAUAGUGGACAGCAAGAUGAAUGUGGCAUAAACUGCAGAAAAACUGAAGCAGCUGGUGAUGCCAGAGGCAGAAAUUGCAACCAGUCUAUAACUGUGUUGGCCCUUCGGCUCCCACUAGCUAAUAAUCCUAACAUGCAUUUCUCAUUUUGAGUAAGGAGGCAUUGGGGGGGGGCACCUUGCCUUGAAUUCACUGUGAUCAAAGGUUGGCUUUUGAAAAUUCAGCCAUUGGUGGGUGGGAAUUAAAAACUAAAACCUGUAGGAAGAUUGGCAAAUGAAGAUGAUGGACUUUUCGGAGCUAGCCGACCUGACUGGAAGAGUCCGUGACCAGAAGGAGGAGGAUCACCAAGAAGAAUGGAAGAAAUAUAAAGACUAUUUCGUUAAAUAUGUUAAACUAACUUAACUGGGAAAAGCUUGCAAAAACCAGAUAGGCUUAGGAUUUAAAUAUGUAGGGUGACGAAAUAACAUGCUCAAAGUUGAACUGCAAAGCAAGAAAGAUGUUAAGUGAAUAAGUUAAAUUUUUAAGAAUUUAGGUUUUGGAAAACAGUUAAAAUGAUUUACACUGAAAUUCAACCAGGGGAAUACGAGAAAGUCACUUAAUAAUGUUAAUUGGAUUAGUUUUAAUAAGGUUAUGAUUUAUGUUUGUUUGUGUAUCUGUUUUGUUUGUCUACGAAAAAUAUUUUGUGGAAAAUUAAUUUUAAAAAAUGAAAAAUAAAAUAAAAACUAAAACCUGUAGUUUGAGGAGAAAUAAACCCAUAUUUUUAAAAAAGCAAUGCAUAGGAGAGUAAGAAACAAGCAUGAGAUUUGGGAGGACUGGGCUACCUUGGUACUUGAAUCUGCAAUGGUUUUAUAUGAUUAGAAAUAGUACAAGACUUCAAUAAGAGAGAAAGCUGGAUUCAAACCUCAUAACCCUAUGUAUUCUCUUCCCAGUGCAGAGAAUAACAUCAAAUAGAAGGCUGUGGUAAAGUAGGCCACCCAAGAGAAGCAAUGCCUCAUGAACUGCACUCUGAGUCUUUAGCAAAGGAGCCAUUGAUAAAUGUACAUGAUGGUUUUUAUAAUAUGAAUAUUGCAAGGAAGUGGGUUGUCUUAUAAAAAAAAAAAGCUCAGAUAACUGAGCUUCCUCAUCCAGCGGGUACCCAAUAUUUAAAUAGAAUAUGUGAGCAGUGCAUAACAGCUUUCUGUGAUAAGUUCUCAAAUGGAAGCAGAGCUUUUACUCUUGACUGAGGCAUGAAAUGUCAGCUCUUGGAGAUUAGGAUUCUGCAGUAGGAUUGGCUUAGGAAUUGCCAGAGUGGAAAGCAGCGCUUUCAUUCUAAUAUGGGCUUGUUCCCUAAUGCGUAAAAGCAAAGCUUCUUCUCCUCUUGCUUGCAAAAAUGCUAACUCGACUCCACAUUUUCUGUUUGUAUACUUAGAUGCAGCUAUGGGGUGAAAUUCACCUGCCUGGAUUAAUAAUAAGAAUAAGUCACAGAGAGGUGCUUUGGACGAAGGCAAAUAGAAGCACAUUAUCUCAGUGAACCUGCUACACUAAUCCUGAAAAUUCACCACACUUGGAAAAGCUACUAAAAUACACCUACACAAUCAGCCAAAAAGAUCAGUAGAACCAGCAAGUAGCAAUCAAGAUAAAAGACAGCAAAAGCACUUCUUGGCUGUUGCUAUUUUGGGUUGGGAUUCAACCACAAACUUAAUAAAUUCAGGUUGCACUGUUAUAGUUAAUAUUGAGGUUCUGGACUUUUUGCAGUAAGGAAAGUGAUGUUCUGGAAAGUGUAGACUAUCAAUUGCUCUAACACAGCAUCAUCUAACCUCUUGCAAUUAAAUCAGAAUGAAUGCUCUUUAAAUGGUCUAAUCUCCUUGCGAAUAAAUCAGGAUGAAUGUUCAAUAAACAACUCAUAUGGAAGCGCUCCAUGUGAAAGGUAAUUUAGAUGGAUCAUAAAAACCAUCAAAAGCUGUCACAAGCACAAAAGUGCAAGAUAGACUUUGCCUGCUGCCUAGAAGAUAAGAAAGUUGGCACCAGCUGAAUAUGUCAGAGCAGAGUUCCAGGAGCCCAACAGUGCUGUGGAAAAGGCCCUUUCUCUGAUAGUCAUAAAUCCAAACUUCAAAGGCUAAAGAAGAGGUCUAAAGUGGCAAGGAGGUUCAUGGGAGAAAAGGUGGUCUCCUAGAUCUCUCAGUGAGACAACCGCUUUGAAUGAUGCCACAAGGACAGAACUGGUGAUGAAGGCAGGACUUAGCAUAGCACCACUGAAACAUCUGAUUGUGCUGCUGGGAUAUUUUUCAGUGCCCCUGAAAUGGAAAAUGCACCCCAUGAGAAAGGCAUGCCCCUACUGGGAGGGGUAAUUGCAGUGAGAAAACGGGGAGGGUUUUUAAAGUGCAUGGGGAUAUAUUAAUUGACAUGUAACAUUAUUCUAUAUGAAUGUCCCUGGGAGACAUGCUAUGUCAUGACUUAAUGUAGUUCCCAGGAGUAUUUUGACCUAGAUUCCUGGAGAGACACUGUGAUGCUACAAGUGGAUGUUAAAGUUUAAAUUUAAGUUUGAAAAGCAGCCUUAUGGAGUUGGUCACCUUAUGGAGUUAAGUAAGCCCAGUACAUUUCCGAGCACAAUUCAAAGUGUUGGUGCUGACCUUUAAAGCCGUAAAUGGCCUCCGUCCUGUAUACCAGAAGGAGCGUCUCCACUCCCAUCAUUCAGUCCAGACACUGAGGUCCAGCUUUGAGGGCCUUCUAGUGGUUCCCUCAUUGAAAGAAGUGAGGUUACAGGGCACCAGGCAGAGGGCCUUCUCGGUAGUGGCGCCCACCCUGUGGAACACCCAGCAGAUGUCAAGGCAAUAAACAACUAUUUUACUUUUAAAAGACAACUGAAGGCAGUCCUGUUUAGGGAAGUUUUUAAUGUCUGACACUGUAUUGUUUUUAAUAUUUGGUUGGAAGCAGCCCAGAGUGACUGGGGAAACCCAGCCAGAUGGGCGGGGUAUAAAUAAUAAAUUAUAAUUAUAAUUAGUGUAGACAACCACUACCACCAAAAUGUUAGCAAAAUUCCAGGGAUGCCCCCCCCCCCAAUGAAUGGCACAACACCCCCAUUUUGCAGGUGAAAGAACCUGCAAGUGUGUUUGUGUUUUUGGCCCACCUUUACUUGGCAAAAGGUGAUUAUUGUGGUAGAGGAUCGUAUCCACAUCUUUCUGGGGCCAUAUUUGAUGCUGAGCCUUUCGUGAAAUGCACUUUGUCCUCCUGUUUGGCACAGUUUAGCACGUGGGCCAGUUCUUGCACUGUCGCCUUCUCCAUGAGUCACACAGAUUCUAAGGGAUGCCAGUCUUGUGUUAGAUUCAUUAUAUGAUUGGUUGGCUGCUUUGAAAGCUGCCUGUUUAGUAUGCGGUGUGGUGGUCCCCAUUUCACAUGGCCAUCUUUGAUAAGGACAGGCACAGCUCUGCAGUGUUUGACAUAUCGGAUCAGGCGUUCCUCUGGUCCAGCCAUCUGUUCCCAAGAGUAGUCAGCCAGACACUUUUUAGGAUACUUGCAAACAGAGUGUGAUGGAAAUAGCCCUCCCUUGCUGUUUGUCCCCAGCAUUUGCUAUUCAGAGUAGGAUUGAUCAGUGUAUUUCUGGUCUGUGUUGAUCUCACAUGCUCAUAAGUCUGUUCUGUCUCCUUUUCCCAUCAACCUGAUUUUCUUUAAAAUCCACAUAAAUAUCUGUUUUCAAAUAUGUGUUUUAUCACAACAAUUCAUACAUAAAUACAUGUUUUAGCUCAUCAUACGCAUUUCCAAAUGUAUUUGAUCCUAGAAUACCUACAUUCUGGUAUUUUUAAAAAAAUUGAAACUUGUAUUAUAAAAUUCAGAAAAUUGUGAAAUCCAAAAGACAAUUACACCCUGAGCCAUAUGUUAGCAGGGGAGGUCCAAAUUAGGUAUGUUCAAUGGGAAAAUAUAGACCAGAUGAAGUUAUUCUCCACCCUUAAUUUCAGAUUUAUAAUUUAAAAUGCAUUGUUAGGGAGUCUUCCUGUGAAUUUAGUCCAUGGGUAGGCAAACUAAGGCCCGGGGGCCGGAUCCGGCCCAAUCACUUUCUGAAUCCAGCCCGCGGACGGUCCAGGAAUCAGCAUGUUUUUACAUGAGUAGAAUGUGUCCUUUUAUUUAAAAUGCAUCUCUGGGUUAUUUGUGGGGCAUAGGAAUUUGUUCAUUCCCCCACAAAUAUAGUCCGGCCCCCCACAAGGUCUGAGGGAUCCCCUGCUGAAAAAGUUUGCUGACCCCUGAUUUAGUCUAUUCCUCUCUGAUUGUAUGGAACCAUUUAGGGGAGGGGUGUAUUUGAAGCUCUGUGGACUAUUAAUAAACUUCAGCUGAACCAAACUAUGAAAUUAGCAGCUGCAUCAUCUGUACCCUGCAGACACCCACUACAAUGAGACUGCAAAACUUCAUUGUUGUUGCUUGGUGCAUUUAUUCUGAAUGAAUCAUUGCUUUCUUUGGCAUGUGCACAUGGUGAACAUGUGGUGAAGGGGAGGGGAAGAUGGGCAGUGCUUCCAUAUGUCUAGCGUACAUCACAGAUACAACAUACUGUAUAUCGACUUGUAGCUGCUGGUUUUGUAAUAUGCAUAAAGGCCCUUGACUUUUAGAAAAAGAGUCGCAGGGUGUACGCAGUGUGAGCAAUUCCAAAAUCUAGAAGGUUCCUCAACCUAGAUACAGUUCCUCCCAAGCUACUGUUAUGAGUUGGAGGGUGGGUAGGUUGUAUCCGAAGACCCUUUAAAUUCCUGGAAUAGCCAGGCUAGCUUCCUCGUGAGAUAAUGAGUGGGCACCCUUCCCACAACUGGCUGGUAGUUAGAAGGACAAAGGCCAGAGUUGAGAGUGGAGUUAUGUGAGCAAGAUGCUAGAAGCAAAGCUGAGCAGGGCAGCUGAGUGACAAAGCCAUGCCUAAUUUCUGCUGGAAUCCAAGGCUGUGGCAAGACCCUCUUGGAGUGUUAAUGCUGUGAACCCCUCCAUCGUAGGCUCAGGUUGUAUAUUUGUGUGAAUAAACCAUAUAUCAUAAAGACAACACAGUCUCUCCUGUACCUCAUUCCAAAGGAAACACAAACCCUGGAACCCCAGGAAUCUUACGUCACUCGGAGAUUGCGGUUAAGGUUAGGGUUUGAUUCAGUUCAUAUUUAAAGGCAAACCUACCUGACUGACACUUUCUGAAACCAUACGCGAGCUGACACAAGCAGCCAUCCUGCAACACCUGAAUUUUGCAAAGCAGUUCUCUAGCCAAGUAACGUAUGCAAAAAUGCAAAAUACUGUUGUAAAGUGUGCCUAUAUAUUAGUGAAACCAUAAUACAAAAAUGCAUUCUGUUAGGGAAAAUAGCUUUGGGGAAAUGUGUAAUCGGGCAAUAGUGCAAAUAGCUUUGCAAAAACGUGUGCAUUAGGAGAAAUUAGCACUAAAAUGCUGGUGCAUUUUCAGGAGGACUUGGGAAAAUGAGUAACAGAGAGCAACUGACAGAUUUGUGCAUCCCUGGUAGCCAGUAUCUCCUCCAGAACAAGCAGGAUGCAUCCCAUUGGCUAUCAACUUGCAUCAUCUGGAGUGGGAAUUCUGUUUGUUGGAACACCCUCUGCCCUAUUCAGAGGGUAAUUUCAGGCCCACCACAGAUAGGCUUAACCCGCAGGGAUGCCCUGUGUGUGGUCAUGCAGUUUUUAACAAUCAUCGCUGCAGACAGAUCCACCACUCAUCAGCUUGGGGAUUACCCUGCUUGCUAUGUCUUGUUUCAACAGCUGCUGUUUCAGAAGCACUGCCUUCAAGCAAAACAUCAACACAAGCAAAUUCACUUUACUCCUUGUAACAAUGCUGCCACAUGUCUUCACAAGAUCAUGUAUUUGAAAUGUUCAGUCUAUGUGCCGUUGGGAUGAACUCGCAACCUAUUUAGAAGACUGCCAAUUAUAACGCUAAGGGGUCUCCCAUUUGCCUUGGCUAAUGUUGCAACCACAAAGGCUCUUUUUGUCUCUUCUUCACAUGGACACAUUGGCUUAGAGGCUUAGCGGCCACAAACACUUCGGUAAUAAAGACUAUGAUGGGGUUACGUUGUUCAAAACUCCCUGGAAACAGAGCAGCUAGCCUAGCUUGUGUAGAGGCUGAAUGUUUUCCUUUUGUUCUCGUCUAUUCUUAGCAUCGCUACUCAGUUUCCAUCCAGUUGAACCAGUAAAGUCAACACCUGUCUUUCUACAUAUAGACAAGUGUAUUUUCAGACCCUUCCCCCUUCCACUGUUUCCUUUCCCUGGAACGGAUUCCAGUUUGUCUCUAUGACUGGCCCUCACUGUCACGUUUCCUGAAUUGACCUUUUUCAUCACACUCCUUUUUAGGAUCUUCUCUCCCUAUGAACUGAAGGGCUUAGCAGGAAUGGCGGAUCUAGGCUGACAUCAGGGACAGGUGAGAAAUCUGAUUUUGUCUGUAUUUUAAUGAGAAGCUUCCUAAUCCAUACAGUCCAAGCCAAUAUGCUAACCGAAACAUAGCUAUUCUCUUAAUUUUGCACAUUUCCAAAUUUUGCACUAGUUUGAUUCUUAUUGUAGUUUAUCUCAAAAAUUCUCAAAAAAAAAUUUUUGGGUGAAAUUUGCACAUUUCCCAUUUUUGCAAUGCACUUCACCAGCAACUAAGAUGUACAAAAGUGCAUACAUUAGGAGAAAGCAUGCAUAUGAAAGAAUACAUUAGUGAAAGCAAUGUCAGUGUGCAUUAGAUAGGUUGGCCCUAAAAUAUGAACUGAAUCAAAUUUCUUCUCCACCCCCAAUCUUGAGAUCCUUUUUAAAAAAAAACUUGGAAAUACCAUGGAGCAAAACCAGGACCUUCUGUGUGCACAGAAUGUACUCUGUCAUUGAGCUAUGGAACCUCUCCCCUCCUUCUUGGAGAGGAUGACGGAGAAGGAACUGCAAGUGUUCUUGGAUGACACAGCUCAUCUGGUUCAAACUUCAGUAUUUGUUUAGGCCUGGUUUUGAAAGUGCAUGUCAGGCGUCAGAUGCUCCAACCCUCCACAGGGUAGGUUGCCAGGAAACGAUAAGACAAGGAAAGUUCUUACCAAUGUUGUUUAUUCAAUAUUUCCAGAGAGAGGCUUAGAAAUGCAGCCUCCUGGAGCUAUGGCAUUGCUCCAAGUGAAACCCCACCCCCUCCAUCUCUCCCAUUAUGCGUUAUCCCUACGGUAGCUGAGCUGUGCCUUCUGCCUCAGAGCUCUCUGCUCUCCUACUUUCAAUGCCGACCAGGUUCUGGGGGGGGGUCUGAUAGAUAGAUGAUAGAUAGAUGAUGAUGAUAGAUAGAUAGAUAGAUAGAUAGAUAGAUAGAUAAUUUAUUACUGUCGGAGACCAGCUUAUAAAACACACUUGGGGGUACAGUCACAGAAGGAAAACAAACAAUUAAAACAAUGUACAACAAUAAAUUUAAAAACAAUGUACAACAAUAAACUACCGCAGGGAGCUGACCCAGAGUCACCCAUAGAACUGAGUUUCGGGAUUUUCUUAGCAAACUAGUUUGAGUUGGGAGAUGGUCUGCGCCUACAGAUCUGUACACAGAAUCUAGCGACCAUCCGGGUCAUCUUCUGAUCUUUGCCUAACAGGAAAAGGUUGAAGUUUUGCUUUUCCGGGAGGUCAGCGAGCCUCACCAGUAGGGGAUCAAUGGUCUUACUACGUGCCUCUUCAUAAAAGGGACAUCUAAAGAACAAGUGCUCUGGGCUUCCUAUCUCCCCCAAUGAACAGCGCAAAGUCUCUGAGCAUAUGCGGGGGGUCUGGAAUGCUUUCUAAAGACACUGAGUCUGUCAGUUCUCUCUCCCCUGGUGUUUCUUCCUCCUCCUCCUCCUCCUCUCCCAUUAUUUCCCAGCUUUCCCCCUCAUCUGCCUCAGAGUUGUGAUCUCCCUCAACCCCCUGUUGUAAUUCUGAACUGUCUCCUUUUUCUCUGGAAGGGUCAGGCUGGGGAAGCGGUCUCCACUAUUCCUCCUCUGCCCAGUCCCUGACAGUGAAUCAGCCUUGGUUGCCCUGACAGAUGACCUGUCUCAGGAGAAGGUCAGGGGGAAUGUGAGCUUGCUAGUAUUACUCAGUUUCUCAGGGGAUUUUGAUAUCAUUGACCAUGGUAUCAGAGGCACUGUAUUACAGUGGUUCCCUUCCUAAUGGCAUGGCCAAGUCCAGAGAGUUGCAUUCGGGGUCCAUGGGACACUAUUUUGUCUCCAGUGCUAUUCAACUCUAUAUGAAGCCACUGGGAACAGUCACUAGGAGUUUCGGAGCAUGAUCACACACAACUCUACUUCUCCAUAACAUCUGACUCAGGAGAGGCUGUGCAAGCCAUGAUCAGUGUCUUAAUGCAGUGGUGGACCAGCUGAGGACCAAUAAACAGAGUUUGAAUCCUGGGAAGAUGGAGGCUCUGUUGAUAGAUUCUUCCCAUGUCUGGAAGUUGGGUCAGUUGCCUGUCCUUGAUGGAGUUGCACUCCCUCUAAAGGAGCAGGUGCACAGCUUGCAUAUGUCCUGAAUACAUCUUUGUCAAUAGAGGACCACGUGUCCUCAGUGGCUCGGAGUGCCUUUUACCAUCUUUGCCUGGUAUGCCAAAUACAGCCGUACCUGGAUUGGGAUAAUUUGCUCACUUUAGAGCAUGCACUGAUAACCUCAAGGCUGGGCUACUGCAAUGGGAUUUGUACAGAGCUGCCCUUGCACCUGGUUCAGAACUCCCACUGGUGAAGAACACAGAGCCUAGACUGGUGAUGGGGACAGACAACCAACAACAUGUAGCAUCUCUGCUAAUCAUCUGCACUGGCUUCCCACAUAAUCCUGGGUCAUGGUCAAGAUUCUUGUGCUGGAUAUACAAAGCCCUGAACAAUUUGGGUCUAGGCUACCUUAAUUCAGCUCGAUCACUGGGAACUUGUGGAGGAGCAUUGCUAGUUGUCCACCUGUGUUACAAAGGCCCAGUUGUCCUCAACUAGAAGUCAGGUACUUAGCGUUACUAGUCCCAUGUUGUGCAACAUUCCUCCAGCAGAGAUUCAGGAAGCAUCCUCACUUUUCACUUUCAAGCAUCUCCUGAAGAGCUUUUUAUGCUGGCUUGCCUUUGCAGUUGUUCAAAAUGUCCCUUGCAUAGCCAGUCAUUUUGACAAUUGCUUCAUAUUGCUUUUAAGUCUUUUUUACGUCAUUGUACACCACCCUGAUGUUUUUCAUGAGGUCAGUAUAAAAAUACUUUUAUAAAUAAAUAAUUUCUUCUUCCUCUUCCUCUUCCUCUUCCUCUUCCUUUUCCUCUUCCUCUUCUUCUUCCCAACUGCUUCUUGGUCUCCCCAGCUAAGUCACGGACUGACUAGUUUUCUAUAAGCUGCAUUAAAAAAACAAACCGAAAACCAAAGUAUAUUCCCUCCCUGUCCUCCCAUUACAUCACCUCCUGGUUGACAAAUCCGAAUAAUUAAUUUUUUAUCAUUGUGCUCCUAGGCUGACAUUUCCAUCUUAAAAGAAAGAAAGGAGCAUGUUUAAUUAAAGAAGAAAGUGCUUGGGUUUAACAACACUUCAAUCACACAUACACAGUUUAAUAACAUGCUGUCCUUUCAGAGCAACACAGUCGCUUUUCAAGCAAUAUUUACUCUCCCCCUCCGCCAUUUCUAAAGUCUGUUUUCUCUGAAUCGUCGCAGCAGCAAUCUGCCAAAAGCUGAACACAAUUAGCAGAGACCAGAAGCAUGAAAUUUGUACACUCAAAUGCUUUGGGAGUGACUGGAUCCAUUCAUUUUGGGCUGUAUCACUCAGUACCACACAUCGGCUUCUUGUUCCACCAAUAUUAUUGCUGAAUGACUUUGAAUAAGACCCUUAACUGGGUUUAAUUCUGUUUGUAUUUUUGUGUGUGUGUGUGUGUGUGUGUGUGUGUGUGUGUGUUGGAUUGGUUGGAUGCAGAGGAAUGGUGGGAGGAACCAGCUGGGGAACCACCAAGGGAAGAAGACUCAGAGCCCAGGCAAUGGUGGCAGGAGACAAUGAGUGGUCAAAGGGGAAAGCUGCAGAGGUAACAGGGCUUAGUGAGCUGGGCGAGUCUGUGGCAGAGAGAAGCCCAGAAUCAGAGGCAGAAGCUGAAACAGGAAAGGAAGAAGCCAAGAGGCAUCGAUGAGUCAGGCUGGUGAAGAGUCCUGCUGCGACAAGCUCCCGUUCCCCCCUGACUCCCAGAACCAGAAGAGGCAUGAAAAGGGAGGAGCCAAGGCAGGCAAGAUAGGCUCAGUCUCUGAUUGCUUGGAAAAAGCCCUGGGGAGGAGUAGACAGCUGUGGGGAAGCAGGGGCUUUCAGUCUCAGCAACUGAUUUCAUGGAGUAAGACCUAUGGGGAAUGAGCUGUUGUGCUCAUUAGGCCAAGUCAGUGCUCACUCAGCCAAGUCUGUGAAGAUCACGGUUUUGCUCCAACUCUGGACUGUGCGAUUUACUGUGCUUCACUCUGUGACAGUGUGAGAGAGAGUGAGAGAGAUAUAGAUAUAUAGGCAUUUGUGUGCUGAUAUAUAACACAAAAAUUUCUGGGCAGGUUGCAAUAAAUCAGUAGAUACAAAACUCACAAUCUAAAUAUAAAAUUAAACAUAAAACCAUAAAAUCAAAAUCUGUCUUAAGUACAACACAAACAAAAACUCACCACACCCCAAAAAUUGAGGCUAAAAAACUGCAAACUGUUUUGUGUAUUGCUACAUUGCAAAAUUUGUUUCAUAACAUUUGGAGGUUGACUUUUUUCAGUAAUGAUGCGAAACGAUCCUAAGUCAGAGAAAAAAUAAAUGGAAAAUGUAGGCACUGGGGUUCCUUGCAGCUUCUUAAGUCAAGCAGUUUCUGGAAAUGACAGGGGGUAAGCAAAGGAAUUAAGAUUUUGUAAAGGAACUAAAUGCAAGUUAUCACCCUGAUACAUAAUAUUCACCCCAAGGUUCUGAAAGAACAGGCAGAGACAAUUACAGGGCAGUUAUCAAUCAUUUUUGACAACUCAUUAAAAACAGAUGAGUUACCAGUUGACUGAAGGACAGCAGGGGAAGUCACAGCAUUUAAGCAGAUGAUAAACAGGAAAUUAGAUGCCAUUGUAACCAACCUUAAUACCUUAUUUAAAGCAUAAAGGCUAAGAAUAAUUACUGCAAUGCAAACUUUUCACUCCAAGGUGAUUUAGAUUAAGGUAUCAGAGCGCUGAGAGAGUGGUAAAAGGCAGAGGUCAGUCCUGAUCACCUUUUUCGUAGCUAGGACUUUUGUGUGGGAAGAGGGCGGGGAAGAUGCUAGGCAAGGAAAUUGAUGGGAUGGAGGAAAUGGAGAACAACUUAUCUAUUACGCUGUCCUCAUCAAUCAUUGCUUAAUGAAGUAUAAGUAGCAUGGAUCAAAAUCCUAGUAUCUCUAAUGGUCACAGGGAAGGAGAAGCUUUAGAAAUCCCUUUUAUUGGACCAAUAAGUUGCUCAUAUCAACACCAUAUAUCUCAAGCACUCUUAUAUAGUGGUACCUCGGGUUAAGAACUUAAUUUGUUCUGGAGGUCUGUUCUUAACCUGAAACUGUUCUUAACCUGAGGCACCACUUUAGCUAAUGGGGCCUCCCGCUGCCGCUGCACAAUUUCUGUUCUCAUCCUGAAGCAAAGUUCUUAACCCGAGGUAAUAUUUCUGGGUUAGCGGAGUCUGUAACCUGAAGCGUCUGUAACCCGAGGUACCACUGUACUGUUUUUAGAGUCCCCCAAGGAAUAAUGGGAAUUGUAGUUUGUUAAUGGUGCUGAUCUCACAAAGUUACAAUUCCAAGCACAGUUCCCAAUAUUCUCCAUGACGGUUAACAUGGCAUAAGAGUGCUUUAAAUAUAUGAUGUGGAUAGGUGCUUUAAAAUCUUGCAGAUCAACUUUUACAGCACUUGUUGUUCUGUUGUUCUUUUGGGCAGACUUUCAGUGCUCAAGGUAAGAGCAGAAAUUAGAUAUUGCCUGAAGUCAGGAGGAUGUUUACUUUGCAGGGUCUUUCCUGUGUGCCAGGCCAAAAUUCAACAAAUAAAGCCUUCCCCCUUGUUGUCUUGUUCUCAGAUGGUGAGAGAGAGGCAGAAGAGAGCAAAAAUUUAGGAGAUGUCCCCCAGAUCAAUGGGAUUAACCCUUUCCCUGUGGAUCCCUGAUUCCCCAGCUGCCUUUUGCCCCAUUAUGGAAAACUUACAGGAGUGCAAGCCGUGUUAUCUGAAUGUUGCAUUCAAUAGCAGCUGAUAUGUAGCACCCAGAUACUCUGGCCACAAAGAAGGAGCAGUGAAGGCUUGACUUAAACCCUUUCCAGGUGUUCAGUCACCUCACAUGUAAGCCCCGCCCCCUCUGGUGUGACAUCUAUCCAUGCGUUUGAGGGGCGAGGUCUGACAUGGGAUGAAAGGUCCGUGUAGAUAUUUAGGUAAAGGGUAAAGGGACCCCUGACCAUUAGAUCCAGUCGUGGCCAACUCUGGGGUUGUGGCGCUCAUCUCGCUUUAUUGGCCGAGGGAGCCGGCGUACCACUUCCGGGUCAUGUGGUGAGCAUGACUAAGCCGCUUCUGGUGAACCAGAGCAGCGCACGGAAACGCCGUUUACCUUCCUGCCGGAGCGGUACCUAUUUGUCUACUUGCACUUUGACAUGCUUUCAAACUGCUAGGUUGGCAGGAGCAGGGACCGAGCAACGGGAGCUCACCCCGUCGCGGGGAUUCGAACCGCCGACCUUCUGAUCGGCAAGCUCUUGGCUCUGUGGUUUAACCCAAUUUAGAGAUUUAGAGUCUGGCAAAACCUCGAUUUUAAAUAGAGGGUGGAGGCUUGAAGAGGCUCCAGACUUCACCUUCAAUAAACAACUAUUUUACUUUUAAAAGACAACUGAAGGAGGCCCUGUUUAGGGACCUUUUUAAUGUCUGAUGCUGUAUUGUUUUCAAUAUUUAGUUGGAAGCUGCCCCAGAGUGGCUGGGGAAACCCAGCCACAUGGGCAGGGUAUAAAUAAAUUAUUAUUAUUAUUAUUAUUAUUAUUAUUAUUAUUAUUAUUAUUUCAACCUCAUGGAUGGCUCUCAACAGCAUACAGAUGACAGCAGAUUUGGCAGGGCUUUGGCAAUGCAUCCGUGCUUUUCCUAACACGCUUGUUUACAAGUGAGGAGGCUGAAUGGCCAAAUAGGGAUCUUGCCCUGAGCUACAUAUAAAAAACAGUUUAGUGUCAAAUGCACAAAUUAUCACUUUCCAGGGUACAAUUCCCUUCCCAACAUCUCUGCAGCAGUCAGUCGCCCAGUAGGGUUGCACUAGCCACAGCAAUAGCCUCUUGUCAAUGGAGUGCCAACUGCCAUCAUCACCCACUGAAAUUAGUGGGUGGUGAUGGAUGCAUCUUAUCUCUAGAGCAGUGGCACCCACAUCCGUGCACUGGGCAGGUCACAUCGCCUGUUUUUUCAAACACUGCAGCUGCUGAUAAAUCUUUUUAAACUGUUGAACAGAGCCAGCCCUACCAUUAGGAGGCUGCCUCAGGCAGCCAGCUUGCAAUGUCAGGGAAGUUAUUUAAUUUCCUAUUUUUGUAUUUUUACUGCUAGGGAGUGAGAGAGGUGUUUGUAAGGUUUUCUGCCUCAGGUGCCAGAAUAACUUGGCUGGUCUUGAAUCCUAUAUAUCCUGACUUGACAUAAGUAGAGGCCACCAUUAGGCUCCAACUUAGGCGGCAAAAUGCCUUGGGCUGGUUCUGGCGAUGACUUAUGAUUUUGUACCUUUAUUUAUUUAUUUUUAAAACCCUACUCGUCGUUAAUAAAUCAUUCUAUUUGUUUUGAAAGGUUUCUAAGCUGUGUUCUGGGAGUAAUAGCCCUCACAAGGUGAUGUGCAGUUGUAAAAUAAAAUGUAACACUGUAUACAUCACCCAUAUAAACCAAUGCGCCUGUUAAAGUCAUGAUACACAUCUCAUGUAUGAUCUAGUUGAGAUUCCUGCAAUUCAGGGGGUUGAACUAGAUGACCCUCGGGAUCCCUUCCAACUCUUCAAUUCUACAAUUUUAUGUUUCAAUGAAUGAUACAAAUUGAUCCAAAGCACAAGGCUUAAUGAAAUGCAGACUGAUAAGUGGGUACAGGUUUUCAGCCUAAAUUGAUAUGAUAUUUUCAGGUGAGUGUGGGGGGAGUGGAGUCUAUAGGUAUGGAGACACCACCAAGAAAGCCCUGCUCCUGGUAUCUACCAGUCUAGCAUCUUUCAGUGAUGAGCCAGAGGGCAAGGACUUAGAUAUGGAUCUUAACACACAAGCAGCCUUGUGCUGCUGCAGGUUGUGUUUCAAAUAACAACGUCCCAUCAUUUCUGCCAUAUUAACAAAUAUAACCCUCAGUGAUAACAAAGUUAUCAAUGAUAUCUUUAUAUGUGUUAAUGCCACAAUUUUCCCAGUGCAUCUCUAACCACAUGAAUUCGCAUCCUUUUUGCUUAUAAAUCAGUGGGAGGCAAACCGUUGCAGACUAAAUUAAUCUGGUAAGCCAAGUUGCCUUCAGCGAUAUUCUGAUUUUGAGAUUCCCCACGAGCAUUUUUCUGGACUGCAGAAAUCAAUUCUUAAACAAACAAGCAAAUAAGCAAUGAAAUCAGAGAUGCCAACUGCGUCCGUGGUUUCACUCCAGAAGAAAACAGUUACAUCAGAGAGGUAACCUGUAGUUAGAUGCACAAACGUACCACAAACCCUGCUCUCUGAGAUUCUUAAGGUGGUCUCCCUGCCCAGCAGCAUAGAGGGAACAACUGGUGGAUGGGUGGUGUGAGAGACUGGGCAGAGGAGGAAUGGUAGAGACUGCCUCCCUAUCCUGACCCUUCCAGGGAGGAGGAAGAAGAAGACAGUACAGUGGUACCUCGGGUUACAUACGCUUCAGAUUACAUACACUUCAGGUUACAGACUCCGCUAACCCAGAAAUAAUACCUUGGGUUAAGAACUUUGCUUCAGGAUGAAAACAGAAAUCGUGCUCCAGUGGCGCGGUAGCAGUGGGAGGCCCCAUUAGGUAAAGUGGUGCUUCAGGUUAAGAACAGUUUCAGGUUAAGAACGGACCUCCGGAACUAAUUAAGUACUUAACCCGAGGUACCACUGUAUAGAUUUACAAUAGGGAUUUGAGGGAGAUGAGGGGAAAAGUUGAGAAAUCAUGGGAGAGCCAGAAUAGCUGGCUGACACAUCAUUAGAAAGCAUUCCAGACCCACCAUCUCGCAGAAUGCAGCGGGCCUUAAAAGUAGGAGAGCAAAGAACUCGAAGACAGAGGACACUUAGCAGCACCCGUAGAGGAGGUGAUGAUGAUGACGAAUGAGGAAGUGGGAGAGACGGGGGAUGGAGAUUCACUCAGGACAAUACCAUUAUCCAAGAGACUGGGUGCUAUAGCCUCUCUCUUUUAAGUUUGAAAUAAAAGAGGACUGUAAGAAACUUUCCUUGUCUUUAUAUUUUCCUGGGCAUCCUGCCAGGAGCCGCUGACAGCAACCUGACAGGUGGGUUGCCCUGCCUUCCUGACAUUCAUGUCCCAGCCACCUAUCAGGAUGAUGCGGGGGGGGGGAGGCAGUGAGUUCAGAGCUUUAGAUGGUCAUCCAUGAAACUCUGUCCUGUCCCUCCUCCCCAUGGUCCCGGUACUUAGCAGUGGUGCCAGCAGGGUGGCUGUAAGCAGGAUAUAACUCUCCCUGCUGGCCACUCCUUAGUGAUGUACUUUAAAGGUGCUCAGCACAGCAGCCCGUGGUCUUAUUUACCUGUACUCUAAGGGGGCUCCUUUACCGGUAAAUUCCACCAACUUCUGCCAAAAGGAAAGUGUUGCAGCAAUUUCCCCUUCUCCAUAAUAGUGAAUGGGGAGUAGGAGGAACAAAGUUUUUUUCUGAAACAGAUCUGGAUCAUGAGCUGAACCAGGCAACCUCUUUGGACCACAGUGGGCUGCAUCCCAAAGCAGCGUAUCAGUAUCUGAAGCACACACCCUUACCUCAGCCUGCUUAGCUUCAGCAGUGGAACAGGAUUAUGUGCCUUAAGACAAGUUUUGGAUAAGGCAUCUCUGUGUAUUGUAUUUAGUAGCCACAUGCAUGUGCUCCACAGCCCUGAAGCCAUUAAUGCUAGGUGGCACCUACUUCACUGGGCUUGACGACACACGAAGAAAAUGUCCAUCUCCCAGACCACUCUCUGCAAGACAGAUUGGCCACGAAGAUACAGAAGUUAGCCAUCACUGUACCCGAUUAUUGCAGUGCUCUCUGCAUGAGCGAAUUCAUCUUUUAUUACUCUGCUGGCUUUAUAGUCAGGGAGAAUGCUGCUCUCACAAGGGUGAAAAUUAUGUGUGCAUGGAAAUUUGACAGCUGUCAUCCAUUUGGCGACUGCUGCUGUGAUCUUAAACCCAGUCCUUCUGAACGAGAAAGUGGUAUCUUUAUAAGCAGGUGAAAGCUUUGGUCAAUGGCAAAAUGAAGUGUAGAAUUGCCCACAGGACCAGAUCAUUGCUUUUUCUACCCUUCUUGCAUAUUUAACCUUUACCUUUUGUUUCCAGCAUGGAUAUAUAGAGGAAGAAGCUUUGCAGUCACCCUACGUUUCCCAUUAAGGCCUGUCCAUCAUGGAAAUAGGAACAAAUUCAAUAAACUUAUAAUGGCUGUUCAAUGAAAAGCUCACCUGCUCUGAUUCUAAAAUGGCAAAUCCCUUCUGCUGGGGGCAUGUCCAUGCUUAGUGUUUUCAUUUGUUGCUUUCACUGAAGGUUCUCUAAGCUUUCUGACAACGUUCAUGAAAUGUGACAGCCUUCUACAACCUGUUCCCCCCUAGCUCCUUCGGACUACGGUUUCCUUGAGCACCUGAUACAUGCAUUCAUUUGCAGACCUCUCCCUAGUACAUGUGACUUGGCUGAAGAAGCCACACUGCAAAAUCUGGAGAUGUGCGGGUUUUGAAGGAUGGCUGGGUUUCAGUUCAGAAAGUGCACAUUUGGUAAGUUUGCUUUUAAAUGCGCACUGAAUCAAUUUUGUCCCCAUACCUAGUUACAGUACAAAACAUCGGCAUGGCAUCAGGCCACAAAAGUCUGAAACUGGGCUGCAGCCUGCAAACAUCAGCUCCUCUAAGUGUCCCUAUUUUCCAGGGACACUCCCAAAUUUACAGAAGCCGUUCCGGCUUCUGAUUUGAUCCUGAAAUGUUCUGCUUUUGCUUAGGACAUCCCUGUUUUCAUCAGAGAAAUAUUGGAGGGUAUAGAGUUAUGCAACCCCUUAGCCAAGGUGAUAAGCUAAGUAACUAUGCAACCUUUAGAAGAUAUCUGAAGGCAGCCCUGAUAGGGAAGUUUAAAAAAAUAAUAAUAAUGUUUUAAUAUGUUUUUAUGUAUGUAGGAAGCCACCCAGAGUGGCUGUGGCCACCCAGUGGGUGGGGUAGUGUUGUUGUUGUUGUUAUAUUUUAUUGACUAGGACAUCCCUAUAUUUAUUGGAUAAAUGUUGGAGGGUAUCCUGCAACCAAUGUGAGACAUCAACUGCAAUUUUGUUGCUGCUGCUGCUUAAGAAGUCAUUGUGUCCUUAACUGCUGAAAAAGUGAGGUAAAUCUUUUGGAUUGUUUUGUGCAUCUCAGUCCAACUCUGAAAAGUGUUUGCUACUCUGAGGCAUCUCAAGGAUAACUCAAUAUUUAGUGGGGUGACUAAUACAUUUCAUCCCCGUCAACAGUUAUCAGAUUUAUCGGAUCAUUGGUUUAUCAAAAUAUAAGAAGAGCCGAAGAGUUUCUGCCAGGCAAAGAUUCGAUGAGCAAGAAUGACCCCUUCAGCAUUGCCAGUUAACCAGCAAAUGCUCAUACAGACAUGAUGCAGUGUUUCUAAAAAUAAACAUAGACGCUCUUGUGAUUGGUUGUGAACGAGGGUUAGGAUAUAUACUGUCACAUUCUGGCCUUUGCCACAGCUUAUUGCAAGCAGGAAAGAGUCGUUCCGCCCAUCUCUGCAGGCAGUUUUGGUGCUUUAUACCUGAACUCUAGAUUCCCAAUCUUCUCGAUAUACACUUUACAUUGGAAGCAGAAAUGGAAUGGGAGCCGGUGGAAAGAGCUCAAAAAGAACUGACUGCAUGACUUGGCUUUGAUUAAAAUCAUUGAGGCAGAGGAAGAGUGUGAUGUUCUUCUCACAACAGCACAGCAGUGAUGAGAAAGAGAGAGAAAGAGAGAGCAGGGAAUGGGAUUCACUGUUUGCAAACAUUGCAAAGUCACCCAUGCCCUGGAAAAAGCGCUUUGAGACGGAUUCAGUGAACACAUUCUACUAGAGGAAGCCAGUGCAAAGACUCCUGCUAGCACAAUACGACUUUCCCCUUUUCCAAAUCUGUGCAGAGAGUUGUGCGAACCCUUCUCCCCCCCCUCCAAGAACAGUGUGGGGAGGCAGAGGAGAGAGGAGCUUAUUCUGCUGCGUAAGCAGCAAUCCUUGCACUGAUGGCAUGAUCUCCUUGGCACUAUGUUGAAUUACAUGCACCUUUUUUAAUGAAGCAGGGUACAAAAGUGGAUUGAAGUGUUUGCACACCACAACAGUGCUAACUCCACACUUAUUCAGGAUGCUACUUGCCAGCUACCUAGCACUGAGACAGGAACCGUACUCCACCAUGAGUGCAAGGACACCCAGAGUGGCUGGAGCAACCCAGUCAGAUGUGUGUGGUAUAAAAAGUAAAAUUAUAUUUAUGGAAUGGGACGUCCCUAUUUUCAUCGGAGAAAUGACAGAGGGUAUGAAGGAGGCAGCAAGGCUGGUGUGGUGUAAACGCACCAACACAUUUGCAAUGUGCUGAUCUCACUGCCCACCCCACCCCACCCCCGGCUACUCUCCAUUCCAGUAAUGGUAAAGGACCCCUGGACGGUUAAGUCCAGUCAAAGGCGACUAUGGGGUUGCAGCGCUCAUCUUGCUUUCAGGCCGAGGGAGCCGGUGUUUGUCCACAGACAGCUUUCUGGGUCAUGUGGCCAGCAUGAUUAAACCGCUUCUGGCACAACAGGACUGUGGGGUGUGAAACACAGAGCAGUCAAAUACAACAUUCCUAGAGUGGACAUGUUUAGACAUGAAGAGGGAUGUUUGUCCAGCCAGUAGAUAAACUUCCUGUUUCCUCCCGAGCUGGGACAAACCGCCUCUACAUGUGACCAGAGGUGGGCGUGACCUUACCUGUGCAGGUAACAAAAGCACAGGGCUGGCCACCACACCUCCUCUUCUCCAUUUUGCUUUCGUCAAAGAAGCAUCCUUAUGGGAUAGAUUCCACGUGUAUAUAUUUUGUAACCUAAGUCUGCCUUCUGGGAUCCAUCUGUGAACAGAAUGUGUGAGUAAACUAUUUUAUACUUUUUAUACAAGACUGUGUCAUGUCUAUUCCUUUUAGGAGGGAAUAAAGGGGAAUUACCAGGAAACUUAUUUUAGAGGCUUACGCAAGCCUGGCAAACCUAUCCACUAUGUAAGUUUAAAAGGGGAAUGUUACUCUGCUAAAUUAUAGAACUUGUUAAUGCAAGUUGGAAAGGAUAUAAUUAAAAAAUAUAUCCUCUCCUGCCUCCCUGAACAUUCCCACAAGGACACAGAAACCAGAGCGCACGGAAACACCAUUUACCUUCCCGCCACAGUGGUACCUGUUUAUCUACUUGCACUGCCGUGUUUUCGAACUGCUAGGUUGGCAGGAGCUGGGACAGAGCAACGGGAUCUCACCCCAUCGUGGGGAUUCGAACCGCCAACCUUCUGAUUAGCAAGCCCAAGAGGCUCAGUGGUUUAGACAACAGCACCUAUACAGCAGUGGUGCAGGCAAAGAGAGGCCAGGUGAGCAGUAGAGCCCUACCACGACAUCCACUACUUGGAAAAGGAAUUAAAUCUGGUCUCCAAAUAUCAACCCUGACCACCCUACAGAGAUGCUAAUACCACCAUAGGCAAAAUCCAGUUGUUGUUGUUGUUUUCAUCAGAUGGAGUUCAUUCAUCCAAAUGGAGCGUGCCCUUCCAAAUUCAAGUGCUCUUUCUGCAUUUGCUUUUAUAUUAUACAUCUACUUUAAUUAUCAAGGGCACGAUUCUGAAUGAAACGAUUAUAUCAUUUACCUCUGGGAUUUCUAUAAGCCUAUUGAGUAUGCAUCAUUAAUAACAGAGAAGCUGACAUUAGGCAGUUUAUUUCUUAGUUUCAUUCUCAGCUCAUCUUUUUGCAUAAUACUUAAUUAAAUCAUUGUGAUAUUAUUUGAUCUUUUCAAGUCAAGGUUUGACAAUUACUUUUUAAUUUUAAAAUGUGAAGGGAAAUUAAUUUUUUGUAACUGCAUAGACAUCUCGGAAUGUGUGUUUCGGCAGUGAUAUCACAUUGUUGGAUAUCUCUGAAGCAUUUUGAGUGAUAACAGAUGGCUUGUUUUGCAGAUGAUUGAUGAAUAAAGACAUCCGUAGACCAGUGCAGAAUGGGCUGCAGGAAUUAGAGUUUUGCCAAAUAACCUGCUAUAAAAGCUUUGCACCACCGCUGUGAGAAAGCAUUAUUUUGUGCUAAGGUUUCAGAUAUCAAGAAGGUAAGGUGUUUCAUUUAUUAAUAGGGAAAGAGGGUUUUCAUUUUGGGAGGCAGGUGGAAAGGACUGAUGGUUUCAGCCUUCGGUUCAGUGGCAGAGAUCCUCAAAUGCCUCAGCAUGAAGAGAACUUGUUUCUUCAAGCAAAAUAUCUGCCCUGGCCCAAUGACUUAAAUAUAUAGCACACCAACAGAAGAAGAAGAAGAAGAAGAAGAAGAAGAAGAAGAAGAAGAAGAAGAAGAAGAACUGUCCUAUUGUCACUCCACUAUUAAGGGAUGUAAGAGCUUCCCCUUCUUCAUCACUGAAGGUACCAUCAAUAAACUCAGC